UGGGGAAUAUUGCACAAUGGAGGGAACUCUGAUGCAGCGACGCCGCGUGAGUGAUGAAGGAAUUCGUUUCGUAAAACUCUGUUCUAUGGGAAGAAAAGGACUGUACCAUAGGAGAAAGCUCCGGCUAAAUACGUGCCAGCAGCCGCGGUAAUACGUAUGGAGCGAGCGUUGUCCGGAAUUAUUGGGCGUAAAGGGUGCGCAGGCGGCUUUACAAGUUGGAUGUGAAAUAUUGUGGCUCAACCACAAACGUGCAUCCAAAACUGCAAAGCUUGAGUUAAGGAGAGGUAAGUGGAUUUCCUGGUGUAGCGGUGAAAUGCGUAGAUAUCAGGAGGAAUACCGGUGGCGAAGGCGACUUACUGGACUUAAACUGACGCUCAGGCACGAAAGCGUGGGGAGCAAACAGG
rnacentral:rRNA from 1 species